rnacentral:lncRNA from 1 species
AAGGACAGGACAGUCCCCCUAAGGACCUGCAUAGCCCUACUACAGAACUGGCUGGCACAGCACAGAGCAAGUCCCAGGGAUUUGAAAGCAGAUGAAAGAUUUCACCAUCUGCUGCUGAAGUGGGAGCACGAGGAAUCUGCCUGGCUCAGAUCUCCCCUGAUCAUUUUGCUGAAGAAGGUCAUAAUUCUGCUGAUGUCUGGACUGUGCUAGCCACCUCUUGCAAGCAUUUAUCUAAACUUCCAUCACUGAAAGCUAAGCUAAAGCUUAGACCAUUGGUGUAAUGAAUGAAUGGUCAACUCGGUGUUAUCCUGGGUAUUUGGUGGCUCCUACUGGAUUCCAUGGAUAUCAGCAUCUGAACUGGAUAUUCGCCUGGAAGCAACAAGUUCCCUCCAAGUUCUCAAAAACUUCUUGUAUGACUGUGAUCCAGUACAUGGAUCCAGGACACCACAUCUCUUGGUACAUGGGAAAUACUGAAAGGUGUGUAAGCUGUUGUGGCCUUGUCUACCAGAACAACCGUUGGACUGUUCAACCUUCAAAAGCUAUCACCAACUCAUCAUGCUGCUGUGGUGAUGACAGCAGGACCAUUUCCAGGGGAUGUCUCUUCUCAAGUGGUCUACUCCAAAUGUGUUGUCAGAAGGCUGUCAAGUUACUAUUGAAAGCUUGAAGGCAUUCCUGUGAGAACAGGAGGGACAAGGGGAUAAGUGAUGAUGGUAUGUCCUUACUUCACUGACAGUUUAAAUUCUGUAGCAUUAGACCUUGGCAAGUGCUAUGGCCAAGGAAACGUUUGCUGGCACUAAUGUUCUCCUAAAUUCUGAUCAACAACCUUAUUGCCUGUGCUGUUAACAUGUGGGAGCUCAUGGGUCAGCAGGGCUGGACCUAUUCAGACCCUGAGUAUUUGCUGAGGUGCUGUAGCAGCCAGCAAUAAACUAGGCAGUUUUCCAGUGUGUAACCA